rnacentral:misc_RNA from 1 species
GAUGAAGAACGUAGCGAAAUGCGAUAAGUAAUGUGAAUUGCAGAAUUCAGUGAAUCAUCGAAUCUUUGAACGCACAUUGCGCCCGGCAGUACUCUGCCGGGCAUGCCUGUUCGAGCGUCAUUUCAACCCUCAAGCCCUGCUUGGUGUUGGGGUCCCACGGCCGCCGUGGGCCCUGAAAGGAAGUGGCGGGCUCGCUACAACUCCGAGCGUAGUAAUUCAUUAUCUCGCUUAGGGCGUUGGGUGGCGCUCCUGCCGUUAAAGAACCAUCUUUAACUCAAGGUUGACCUCGGAUCAGGUAGGAAUACCCGCUGAACUUAAGCAUAUCAAUAAGCGGAGGA